rnacentral:rRNA from 1 species
GACGAACGCUGGCGGCGUGCUUAACACAUGCAAGUCGAACGGAAAGGCCCUGCUUUUGUGGGGUGCUCGAGUGGCGAACGGGUGAGUAACACGUGAGUAACCUGCCCUUGACUUUGGGAUAACUUCAGGAAACUGGGGCUAAUACCGGAUAGGAGCUCCUGCUGCACGGUGGGGGUUGGAAAGUUUCGGCGGUUGGGGAUGGACUCGCGGCUUAUCAGCUUGUUGGUGGGGUAGUGGCUUACCAAGGCUUUGACGGGUAGCCGGCCUGAGAGGGUGACCGGCCACAUUGGGACUGAGGUACGGCCCAGUCUCCUACGGGAGGCAGCAGUGGGGAGUAUUGCACAAUGGGCGGAAGCCUGAUGCAGCAACGCCGCGUGCGGGAUGACGGCCUUCGGGUUGUAAACCGCUUUCGCCUGUGACGAAGCGUGAGUGACGGUAAUGGGUAAAGAAGCACCGGCUAACUACGUG